CGCUUCUGAAUUCAAAUCACGUCUGGCCUGAGAGCUUUGGGGAGGGGUUGUCUUGGCAGCCACCUUUCCAGUUGUCCUUCAGGAAGUCACCUGCCCCCGACCCAGCCAGCUUUGGCCUUUGGUCAUUGGAAUUGUUACCCCCUUACUGCCCCUACGAACUCUUCCUUCUUCCACCCCCUGCUGCAGCUCCUGGUAUGGCCUCAGAUGCCUGUUCAUUGCCUUGAGGAUUUAAAGACCCUAAGAUCCAGAAACCAAUGAAGGGAAGGUUCCUCCAGGAGCCAAGAGAGAGGGACUGUCCUGUUGCUGAAAGGAGACCCGAGCAGUCACCUGUCCUCUCCCUCUGUCCCUCUGCCAGACUAGGCUGAUGAUGGUCACAAGACUCUCCUCCCACUGCCAGCACAGGCAACCCCAAGUCCACACCCUGGUUGGUACCAGCCCCAGGGAGCAAAUACUGGGCCCCAGAGCCCUGCGGCAGCUGGGGACACCAGAAGAGCCAGCCCCAGGACUGUCACCUGGCAGGAAAUGGAGAAAUUGCAAGAACAGCACCCAGUUUGGGGUUGGGGAGGGAGAAAAGGCUGAUGAGAAGGUCCAGUCUGUGGUUGAAGGGUGAUGCUGGAAGAGCUGAAAGCAGGAGGCUGGGCAGUUGGAAGUCCUUAACUAUGAUGAAUGAACAACCGGGUGACCUUCUUCAAUGGGGGCUCAAGCCAGGAAGGGUGGCCCCAGCAAUCUACGGCUGAAGCUGCCACACACUGGCCUGGUCUGGGUGAGCCAAUGGAGCCCCAGGUGGAUUGGUAAGGUAUGUGGGACAGCUCCUGCCUGAACAGGUAAAAGCAUUGUUUUCACGUGUUACCAUUACCUUUAGUUAUAUACCGAGAGGCUUCCCUCUCCUCAUAAGCUGUGUGACCUUGGACAAAAUACCACUCCAUGCCUCGGUACCUCUGCUGAAAAACUGGCACAGUGUCAUAUGUACAGGGCUGCGUGAAAACACUUAGAAUAGCCCCUGGCACAUAGUUUAGUCCUCCAGCCUGGCCUAACAUACGUUCUGAGAAUUUCCUCUGGGCAAAGCAACAAGAAUACUCACUGGGGCUCAAAUGGAAGAUACAGGCUUACACAGGCAGUCUCAUCAGUUUGAUGCAUUUGUUACAUCACUCACUCCUAGUGUUACCUCUGUCCAGGACAAGGAGCCCAGACUGACUGCAAACUGAGUUCUCACCACUGCUUGUCCUUCUUCAACACCUGACCAGGAGGGUCUGCCCACAGCGGCCCUGAAGGCCCCAACUCCAGGCAGUGAGAUCGAGAGACCAGCUGCAGCUGUGAUUCCUGGGGCUAUCCAUUGUUAUUUCAGAAGUUCCUGGCAGUCUUUCAGGGGGUGCUGUGAUGAAUGAGUACUUUCUUCUUCCCGACUGUCAUCAAAGGCACACACCAUAGAGCCCAGGGGGUGUGUGGCAAGGGGGACUCAGAGCUGGCAGUAACCAGCAGGCUCGCUAUAGUCACAGAGGCAGGAAGUGAGGCACAAGGGUCUUCCGAGUGCACCCAGAAUUGCAGCACCAAGCGAGAACCUGAAAACCCACCUUAUAGUUCAAAAUGACUCUUUCAUACUCUCUGCUCACAACUUGUAGUCAGUGCUUUCUGGUGACAGCAGAGGAGAUGGAAGCUGUGUCCAGAUGCAGAACCUGCCUACUGUCCUGGGUUCGGAUGGAUGGCACACACCCCGCCUGAAUGACCCCAUGGUGGGCACAGUUCAGGGACUGCUUUUGAUGUCAUCUUUAGCUGGUAUUCAACCCAGAGCAUAAGAGUUCCUGUAUCCUGUACGGUUUCUGAUCUGAGGUACUUAUCCCAGGUCUGGGGCUUCCUCAUUGAUCCUGAGGAAACCAUCUCUCAUCACCUAGGCCCACCAACACUGAACCCCUCUCCCACUAUGCUCAGAAUUCUUGGUGAAUAUAGGAAAUUGGAACAAAUAAAAUGUCUAAUAUCUACUUUCUUUUCUACUUCAUUGAUUUUUGUUUUUGUCUGUGUUUCUUCCCUCUAAUUUGCUCUGGCUUUGAUACUAUUUAUUUUCUCAUUUCUUGAGCUAGA
rnacentral:lncRNA from 10 species